rnacentral:rRNA from 1 species
GAUGAACGCUGGCGGCGUGCCUAAUACAUGCAAGUCGAGCGAAUGGAUUAAGAGCUUGCUCUUAUGAAGUUAGCGGCGGACGGGUGAGUAACACGUGGGUAACCUGCCCAUAAGACUGGGAUAACUCCGGGAAACCGGGGCUAAUACCGGAUAAUAUUUUGAACUGCAUGGUUCAAAAUUGAAAGGCGGCUUCGGCUGUCACUUAUGGAUGGACCCGCGUCGCAUUAGCUAGUUGGUGAGGUAACGGCUCACCAAGGCAACGAUGCGUAGCCGAACUGGGAGGGUGAUCGGCCACACUGGGACUGAGACACGGCCCAGACUCCUACGGGAGGUAGCAGUAGGGAAUCUUCCGCAAUGGACGAAAGUCUGACGGAGCAACGCGGCGUGAGUGAUGAAGGCUUUCGGGUCGUAAAACUCUGUUGUUAGGGAAGAACAAGUGCUAGUUGAAUAAGCUGGCACCUUGACGGUACCUAACCAGAAAGCCACGGCUAACUACGUGCCAGCCGCCGCGGUAA